AAUCUUUUGGGAUAUCCAAGGAUACAUGACACAAGGUGAAACCCAAAUUCUACAUGGGAAAGAUAAGGAAAGACAUCCAACAAUUAUAAUUGUGACCACCAAAUUCUAAAGAUUCUUAACCACUUAUCCUUGGUCCACUGCCAGCUGAAAAGUAUCCCUAAUAAAUAGUUCCACCUCCUUGACUUUGUCAGCAACAAAUUUUCAUGCCUUCCCGUGCAUUUCUCUCUUUAACUAUUUCUCUUUCGCUCUCAUACAGAAGAGUUUGAUAACCAGCAAUUAGUGCUUUCUUAUAUAUAUAUACACACGUGUUCAUCGUCUUCUUGGAGAAAAAAGAAAACUCAAAAGGCCAACCAUGGCAGCCUGUGGAAGUCUAGAACACAUCUUUGAAAAGCCAUUGCCAGAAAAUCCAACGCUUCUUGAAUCUCUUACAUCAUGGAAAAAAUCCAUGAAACCGAUUGAUGAUUCGUCGUUUACAGAAAUAUUUGGCGAACUACAUUUUAAAGAAAAUCACGCCUCCGAAUCAUUUUCAUCCUCUCCUCUUCCUCAAUCCUCUCCAUCCUCAUCUUUGUCCUCAAAUUCAUCGUUUUUUCCUGAUGCGAAUAAAAAAUCUGAUAAUGAAAAACUCAACAGGGAGAAAAAUGAGAGCAUAAACAGCAAUAAUCAUGAAAAAGCCAAGAGUCCAACAUCAAGUUAUUAUCCAACGUCCACCCGCAAAAAGCAAUACCGGCAUAGCGAUAGCUUUUCAUCUGUCAAUUCUGACAGUUUAUCACUAUGCACCGAAGGGCUUGGAUUCGAAAGCUUUGAUGAUGUCGAGGAUUUGUUGAGGAAUGACAUCUGUAAUGAAUUUCAACAUCAGGAGGAGAGGAAAAGUUUUACAAGAAAUGCGCAAACAGAAAGCCAUUGGAGUGAAUAUUCAAAGAGAUCGAGAACAAAUAGAGGGUCAUUUCCACCUCCCAUUUCUAGUAUAGGUAGGAGUGGGAAGCCAUGGGUGUGCUUUAAAUCGUACAGAGAAAACGGCCGGUUUAUUCUUAAGGAGAUGCGGAUACCAACUCAGGAAUUCAUGCAUUCAUGUCGUGAAAAUGGACGUUUGAAGUUGCAAUUUAUUCAUUCUGACGAAGAAAUUCUUGAAAGCGAUGAGGAUGAGGAAGAAGAUGAAGAUAAUAUUGAGGAAAUCAACGAAGUACCCGGUGAAAAUGAUGACGCUAAAAGCAAGGGCAAUGCGAAUGAAGGAGGACGGGACAAUGGAGAAGAGAAUGUAGAAAUCAACAACAGUGAAGCCUAACGUCUCUAGGAAAAUUCUCCAGUUUUAAUGGGCUUUUUUUGCAUUGCAAGUAUUAGAGGAUUUUUAGCAUUUUUCUUCCUAUAUUUUUCAUAACGGUAUGCAAAUAAAGUUCCAUUGAAGAACAAGAACAACAGUUCUUCCUUUGCUUUCGGAUUGUAAGUAUUCUGCAGUCUAAGAACAGGAUACACUUCUCCAAUUAUAUGAAUCUUUAAAUGUUGAAUAUUGAGUGAAUAUCAAGGAGUAUGUGCCAAGAAUCAAACAAAUUUGUAUAGUGUUUGAUCCCUAGGCUUUCUACCAACAAUUAAUAGUUUUUGUUGUACGAAUGCAGCAUUGACGAUGAUGAAUCAACAAAUGGUUACGCCAUAAGAAUGCUGAAGUCGAGGGAUUAGACCAAGCCAAGAGAAGGUUUAGCUCAUGGGACUAAACCAUGGCCAAAGAAGGUCGAGCUUGAGAGUUUUAGCCUAUAAGACCACGCAAGGUCAUGAUGCUGAGAAAGUCGCGCUGCCAACUUAAUAUCAAGAUGCUGAGCUACGCAUAUAAUGUGAAGGGAAUUUUAGAUUGGAAACAUGUGCAAAUAAUCUAAUCAAAUUGAUAUAGGGUGGAUUGACAAACGAGUCGAGUUGCUACCCCAUGGACCGCUCAAGCUGGCAUUGAGACGGGCCAUGGGUCGAGCUGAGCAAAAAAAGUUCACAGAUUGUCUUGAGCUUGUAGAUUGACAUUUUUUUUUUUUUUUUUUUAAAUAAAGUAAAAAAUGAGCCAGUCCAUGGGCUGGCUCAUGUCGACAUGGGCUAAACGGCCAAGCUGAGCAUUGCUUGUGAACAUGGGCCAAUCUCCGGCUCGGCUCGUCCUCAUGGCCGAUCCAAGCUAAGAUGUUUAAGAGUUGAGCCUAGACAUUGUCUUUCAACACAAGCAUAAUUCACAAUAGCACGAUAAACUUGAGAAUUUUAGUUGAUGCAACAAUUUACCUAUUCUAUCAACUUUGCCCCAAUAUGAUCUCUUUACCAUUUUAUUCCCACGUAAGAGACUCAAAUUUCAGAGUUUUACAUUAGGAAAAAUAUUAGCUCUUCCCUUUUAUUUUUUUAUUUUUUUUAGCACGUGGUGACUGC
rnacentral:lncRNA from 1 species